UACGUAGGGUGCGAGCGUUAAUCGGAAUUACUGGGCGCAAAGCGUGCGCAGGCGGUUCGUUAAGUUCGAUGUGAAAGCCCCGGGCUCAACCUGGGAACUGCAUUGGAAACUGGCAAGCUGGAGUGUGGCAGAGGGGGGUGGAAUUCCACGUGUAGCAGUGAAAUGCGUAGAGAUGUGGAGGAACACCGAUGGCGAAGGCAGCCCCCUGGGCUAACACUGACGCUCAUGCACGAAAGCGUGGGGAGCAAACAGG
rnacentral:rRNA from 1 species